rnacentral:rRNA from 1 species
CCUACGGGAGGCAGCAGUGAGGAAUAUUGGUCAAUGGACGAGAGCCUGAACCAGCCAAGUAGCGUGAAGGAUGACUGCCCUAUGGGUUGUAAACUUCUUUUAUAAGGGAAUAAAACGAGGCACGUGUGCCUUUUUGCAUGUACUUUAUGAAUAAGGAUCGGCUAACUCCGUGCCAGCAGCCGCGGUAAUACGGAGGAUCCGAGCGUUAUCCGGAUUUAUUGGGUUUAAAGGGAGCGUAGAUGGGUUUUUAAGUCAGUUGUGAAAGUUUGCGGCUUAACCGGAAAAUUGCAAUUGAUACUGGCAGUCUUGAGUACAAUUGAGGUAGGCGGAAUUCGUGGUGUAGCGGUGAAAUGCUUAGAUAUCUCGAAGAACCCCGAUUGCGAAGGCAGCUUACUAGACUGAGACUGACAUUGAUGCUCGAAAGUGUGGGUAUCAAACAGGAUUAGAUACCCCUGUAGUC